rnacentral:rRNA from 1 species
AACGAACGCUGGCGGCAUGCCUAACACAUGCAAGUCGAACGAAGUCUUCGGACUUAGUGGCGCACGGGUGCGUAACGCGUGGGAAUCUGCCCUUGGGUGCGGAAUAACUUCUCGAAAGGAUGCUAAUACCGCAUAAUGUCGUAAGACCAAAGAUUUAUCGCCCAAGGAUGAGCCCGCGUAAGAUUAGCUAGUUGGUGGGUAAAAGCCUACCAAGGCGACGAUCUUUAGCUGGUCUGAGAGGAUGAUCAGCCACACUGGGACUGAGACACGGCCCAGACUCCUACGGAGGCAACAGUGGGGAAU